CAGGAGACAGUAUGACCAUCCAGUUAGCAAUGAGGGGAACAGCAGAAACUGAGGGGUCAGCUGUAACUCCUCCAAUCUCCCAUCACCACAACAGCCUGUACCAAAUCGGUCCAUUUGAUAAGACGACUUGAGUUUUUCCACCCCCUCCAACUCCACGGCACUCACCCUUGGUCCAAGAAGAGGUGAUACAGGUGGACAUAAAAGGGAAAUCAGCCUGUGAAGGGCUCCUCGAGGAGGAGGAGACCCCUGGAUGGCACACGCUCCAGGGAGCGGGUUUCUGAGCACAGGAGUUUUCCUGCUCUAGUGCCAGUCUCUGGUCUCCUUGGAGAAGGCCCACGGACGGGGUUGGAAGAGGAUGAAAAUUCGAGUUGACUGUAAGAUGGGCUGGCUUCUCCCUCAGGACCAGCCCUCCCCAGCCCUCAGGUCUUGCUCUGCCCACCAGGGGGUGCUGGGUCAGAGCAGGCCCAGCUGGCAUGGUCUUCAGGUGGCUGGCUGGGAUACUCAAGCUCCACCCCUGUCCGGACCUUUGCUCCCAGCCUAAUAGCACUGGCCUUGUCACCAUGACAACCUCUUAGUUUGGAAUAAACAGAGCUCUUUUGCCUCCUGCCCAGUUUAUUGACACCCAAGUGUCUCCCCAGGGAUGGGCUGGAAUUUCAAAUGUUCUGGGGCCCCCAGGGGAGGCCCAAGGAUGACGUGUCACUGGAUUUUGGCUCCUUUCCACCCCUCACUGUCCUUUGCCUUGCCUUGCCCCUCCCUCCUGCCACCCUGUGUCCUGCUGGAGCUGGGAGGGAGGAGAAAAUCUGGGACUCACCAGAGGGUGUGAAGUGAAGCGAGGGGAGCCCGCUUCUAGGCCAUUUCCAAAACCUAGCUGUAAUCCCUGGGAUUCAAGAGACUGUCACAGAUGGCUUCUUCCCUAUCAUCUGUAUCCUUGGGGGUCCAGGAGGAGGGAGUGGAGAGGAUGGGGAGCAAGGAUCUGUGGGACAGCAGAUAGGGAUCGGAGUGGAGCAUGCACUUGGACAGGACACAUGGUAGGAUACUGCACGUUCAUUCACUCAGUGAAUCAAGGAAGUUCCCAGCGGUGUGUGUGGGAAAUCAGAACUGCUAUAAAUCUUUGCCUUGCCUUGGAGGAGGGUGCCUUAGAGCU